ensembl:rRNA 5S_rRNA 5S ribosomal RNA
AGGCACAGCCAUAUCAUCCUGUAUUCCAAGACCAGUAACUCGCUAAAUCCAAGCAGGGCUAAGCCUGGUGAUUACCUGGAUGGGAGACCACAUGGGAAAGCUAGGUUGCUGUUGCAA